rnacentral:rRNA from 1 species
UAGGGAAUAUUGGUAAUGGGCGAAAGCCCGAACCAGCAACGCCGCGUGCGCGAUGAAGGCCUUCGGGUUGUAAAGCGCUUUUUAAGGGGAUGAGGAAGGACAGUACUCUUAGAAUAAGCCUCGGCUAACUACGUGCCAGCAGCCGCGGUAAAACGUAGGAGGCGAGCGUUAUCCGGAUUUACUGGGCGUAAAGCGUGUGUAGGCGGUUUGAUAAGUUGGAUGUGAAAGCUCCCGGCUCAACUGGGAGAGGCCGUUCUAAACUGCAGAGCUAGAGGAUGGUAGAGGGAGGUGGAAUUCCGGGUGUAGCGGUGGAAUGCGCAGAUAUCCGGAGGAACACCAGUGGCGAAAGCGGCCUCCUGGACCAUUCCUGACACUCAGACGCGAAAGCUAGGGUAGCAAACG